UAAGGUGGUUAUAGCAACGGGGCUCACCUCUUACCAUUCCGAACAGAGAAGUUAAGCCCGUUUGCGCCGAUGGUACUGCUAUCCAGUGGGAGAGUAGGUCGCCGCCUUCC
rnacentral:rRNA from 2 species